GGGACCUUCUUGGGGCUGUGCCAACAGCUGAGCGUUGUUCACGAGUUCUGCUUCUCACACAGCCCGGUUUGCAGCCUGGGCACUGAGCACUGGGGCUCCGGCCACCGCAUUGAAAACCACGGUGUGUCCAGCACAGGGUGACACCUGCAGGGCCUCAGCUGCGUGUGUGACUCUGCUCGGGGGCAGGAACAGCUCCCAAAACCCCCAAACCCUUCUUACCUAAGCCGUGCGCAGGCUCCGAGCGGCCGGCGGCGCUUUGCGGGGAGGUGGCGCUGGGAAACCAAACCAAUAAAGGCUCUGCGGGAAACUGCUGAGUCAAGACCGGGGAAAUCACGUGAAAAGCCAAAAAAAGAAACCUCGCUGGGGAGGUGAAGGGAUCAGAGAGCAGGUUGCAGCAGAGAGCUGCGAAACUUCCCGUAAAACCGUCGUGUCGCGACUCGGCUGGAAAAACAUUCCCGAGAUAUAUAUGGCUCAAGAAGCAGGCACAUGAUCCCAGCAAGAAUUUGCGGAGUUGUACGACGACAAAUCUUGGCUGCAGCUUUGUCAUGAACCGGGAAUGAGCCAGACCUUGGCAGAAGAGAUGAACAAGAUCUUGGGGAAAACCCAUGAGCUACAAGGAGAAGCCUUCUCCCCUCCCCUCGCUCGCCCCUCUCCUGGCCUGGCCAGGGUUCUCAAAGUCCAUUCUUUGGGUUGCUUUAACUGGAUUGAGCUUAGGGUCUGCCUCAGAUUGUGAAUUCUGAUGAGAUUUCAGGACAUUUUCUGUAUAAUAUUUUCUGCAUUAGACAGGAUAAAAAUGAAAUAAACCUACAGUCCUUUG